CGGUACGGGUGCGGAACACGUGUGCAACCUGCCUUUAUCUGGGGGAUAGCCUUUCGAAAGGAAGAUUAAUACUCCAUAAUAUAUUGAACGGCAUCGUUUAAUAUUGAAAGCUCCGGCGGAUAGAGAUGGGCACGCGCAAGAUUAGCUAGUUGGUGAGGUAACGGCUCACCAAGGCGAUGAUCUUUAGGGGGCCUGAGAGGGCGAUCCCCCACACUGGUACUGAGACACGGACCAG
rnacentral:rRNA from 1 species